UGGGGAAUAUUGGACAAUGGGCGAAAGCCUGAUCCAGCAAUGCCGCGUGAGUGAUGAAGGCCUUAGGGUUGUAAAGCUCUUUUACCCGGGAAGAUAAUGACUGUACCGGGAGAAUAAGCUCCGGCUAACUCCGUGCCAGCAGCCGCGGUAAUACGGAGGGAGCUAGCGUUGUUCGGAAUUACUGGGCGUAAAGCGCACGUAGGCGGCUUUGUAAGUUAGAGGUGAAAGCCUGGAGCUCAACUCCAGAACUGCCUUUAAGACUGCAUCGCUCGAAUCCAGGAGAGGUGAGUGGAAUUCCGAGUGUAGAGGUGAAAUUCGUAGAUAUUCGGAAGAACACCAGUGGCGAAGGC
rnacentral:rRNA from 1 species